AUGCAAGUCGAACGAGAAAGUCGGGGCAACUUGGUGAUUCCUUGGCAGACGGGUGAGUAACACGUGAACAAUCUUAAAAGUGUGGGGAAUAACGCCGCGAAAGCGGCGCUAAUACCGCAUAACGUUCCGAGAUCGCAUGGUCAUGGAACUCUUCUGCGGAAGUCGCUCGAGGAGGAGUUCGCGCCUGAUUAGCUAGUUGGUGAGGUAACGGCCCACCAAGGCAACGAUCAGUAGCCGGCCUGAGAGGGCGUACGGCCACACUGGAACUGAGACACGGUCCAGACUCCUACGGGAGGCAGCAGUGG
rnacentral:rRNA from 1 species